rnacentral:rRNA from 1 species
GCUAAGCAUAUCAAUAAGCGGAGGAAAAAGAAACCAACAGGGAUUGCCCUAGUAACGGCGAGUGAAGCGGCAACAGCUCAAAUUUGAAAUCUGGCUCUUUCAGGGUCCGAGUUGUAAUUUGCAGAGGGCGCUUUGGCGUUGGCAGCGGUCCAAGUUCUUUGGAACAGGACGUCACAGAGGGUGAGAAUCCCGUACGUGGUCGCUAGCCUUCGCCGUGUAAAGCCCCUUCGACGAGUCGAGUUGUUUGGGAAUGCAGCUCUAAAUGGGAGGUAAAUUUCUUCUAAAGCUAAAUACUGGCCAGAGACCGAUAGCGCACAAGUAGAGUGAUCGAAAGAUGAAAAGCACUUUGGAAAGAGAGUCAAAUAGCACGUGAAAUUGUUGAAAGGGAAGCGCUUGCAGCCAGACUUGCCUGUAGUUGCUUAUCCGGACUUUUGUCCGGUGCACUCUUCUGCGGGCAGGCCAGCAUCAGUUUAGGCGGUUGGAUAAAGGUCUCUGUCAUGUACCUCUCUUCGGGGAGGCCUUAUAGGGGAGACGACAUGCAACCAGCCUGGACUGAGGUCCGCGCAUCUGCUAGGAUGCUGGCGUAAUGGCUGUAAGCGGCCCGUCUUGAAACACGGACCAAGGAGUCUAACAUCUAUGCGAGUGUUUGGGUGUCAAGCCCAGACGCGUAAUGAAAGUGAACGGAGGUGGGAACCCUUUGGGUGCACCAUCGACCGAUCCUGAUGUCUUCGGAUGGAUUUGAGUAAGAGCAUGGCUGUUGGGACCCGAAAGAUGGUGAACUAUGCUUGAAUAGGGUGAAGCCAGAGGAAACUCUGGUGGAGGCUCGCAGCGGUUCUGACGUGCAAAUCGAUCGUCAAAUUUGGGGCAUAGGGGCGAAAGACUAAUCGAACUAUCUAGUAGCUGGGUUCCUGCCGAAG